rnacentral:rRNA from 1 species
UCGAACGCGAAAGGGGCUUCGGCCCUGAGUAGAGUGGCGAACGGGUGAGUAACACGUGGGUGAUCUACCUUUAAGUGGGGGAUAACGUUCCGAAAGGAGCGCUAAUACCGCAUGAUGUGCCGGGUUUGAAGACUUGGCCACCAAAGUCGGGGACCGCAAGGCCUGACGCUUGAAGAGGAGCCCGCGCCUGAUUAGCUAGUUGGUGAGGUCACGGCUCACCAAGGCGACGAUCAGUAGCCGGCCUGAGAGGGCGGACGGCCACACUGGGACUGAGACACGGCCCAGACUCCUACGGGAGGCAGCAGUGGGGAAUUGUUCGCAAUGGGCGCAAGCCUGACGACGCAACGCCGCGUGGAGGAUGAAGGUCUUCGGAUUGUAAACUCCUGUUGACCGGGAAGAAUGGACUCCGACCUAACACGUUGGAGUAAUGACGGUACCGGUUGAGGAAGCCACGGCUAACUCUGUGCCAGCAGCCGCGGUAAUACAGAGGUGGCAAGCGUUG